UACAGAGGUCCCGAGCGUUGUUCGGAUUCACUGGGCGUAAAGGGUGCGUAGGUGGCAUGGUAAGUUUGAUGUGAAAGCUCAGGGCUUAACCCUGAAAUGGCAUUGAAUACUACUGUGCUGGAGGUUUGGAGGGGGGGCUGGAAUUCUUGGUGUAGCAGUGAAAUGCGUAGAUAUCAAGAGGAACACCGGUGGCGAAGGCGGCCUUCUGGACAGUGACUGACGCUGAGACGCGAAAGCGUGGGGAGCAAACAGG
rnacentral:rRNA from 1 species